AAAAAAGUACAAAUGGCUUAGUGAAUAGAAAUUUCAGUGCUUUAUUCUUCAUUAUGAAAGUGGGAUUUACCAGCAAUGAUUUAUUUGUGAUUGUUAGCAAAAAAAAAAAAUUUACAAUAAUUAUCUUUGUUAGAAAGAACAAAUAGUGUAUCAAAUGUAAAAUGUCCCAAACCUAAUUAGAAUAGUCCAUUCAGGACAUUGGACAUGAGGAAAGCAAGCUAGCUAUCAUUCAUUUAAAUUAGCUCUGUUAAAAACAACAGGUAAUAUCUACAGGUAGUUAAAUGACCCCUGUUGAUAAUAGCUCUCACAAUACCUAUUGUACAAUUUAAAUGGACAAAUUGUAUUGACAAUUUUUUAAACUGGUCAGGCAAUAGGUAAUUCACUACCACAAAG
rnacentral:lncRNA from 1 species